ensembl:snoRNA small nucleolar RNA SNORA42/SNORA80 family
GCAUGGUUUUGGAUCUGUGGCAGGUUUGUCACCCUAGGUCUCUCAUAGUGUCCCAUGCUAGAGCAAAAUGCUUCCUAACCCUUGCCCGGCCUCUGUGCCUGUAGACUGCUGGCACUGAAGUGGGUCACACUGUG